rnacentral:misc_RNA from 1 species
AAAUAAAUUAUAUAGUUACUUGAAUUCUUUAUAUGUGUGUGUGUGUGUAUUAAUUUAAAAUUUUAUUUUUUAUUAAUUCUAAUGAAAAUUUGUUGAAAAUUAUUUAAAAUAUUUUAUAUAUUACAUAUUUUUAAAAUAUUUUAUAAAAUUAAAUGAAUCAAUUGACCAUUCUCAAUACCAUUUAACUCUACCCUUGUAUUGACCCCUCAGAAAAUAUUUUUCAGCUCCGCGUCUGAACAUUAUACUAUUGUUUCAUACUCCCAUGAAAAUUCCUUUCGAUUAAUGGCAACAUGACCAACUUUUUUUUUACUUUACUUGAAUUACAGGUGCUUAUCAUUUCAAGA